rnacentral:rRNA from 1 species
GUGCCUAACACAUGCAAGUCGAACGCGGCAUUAGCAAUAAUGCCGAGUGGCGGACGGGUGAGGAACACGUGGGUUAUCUGCCUUGAGGUGAGGAAUACCGGCGAGAAAUCGCCGACAAUACCGCAUAGGUUUGGAAACAAACAAAGCCGGGAAACCGGUGCCUCAAGAUGAGCCUGCGCCCGAUUAGCUACGUUGGUGGGGUAAUGGCCUACCAAGGCGACGAUCGGUAGCUGGUCUGAGAGGACGAUCAGCCACACUGGGAUUGAGAACGGCCCAG